UUGCUUCCUCAGCACAUGCACUAAAAUUGGAACAGAAUGAUAUGGAGUAAAUUAGCAUCGCCCUUGCGCAAGGAUGACAUGCAAACUUACAAAGCGUCCCAUAUUUUU